rnacentral:rRNA from 1 species
CAGUAGCCGCGGUAAUACGGAGGAUCCAAGCGUUAUCCGGAUUUAUUGGGUUUAAAGGGUGCGUAGGUGGCCUGUUAAGUCAGGGGUGAAAGACGGUAGCUCAACUAUCGCAGUGCCCUUGAUACUGAUGGGCUUGAAUGAACUAGAGGUAGGCGGAAUGUGACAAGUAGCGGUGAAAUGCAUAGAUAUGUCACAGAACACCAAUUGCGAAGGCAGCUUACUAUGGUUUGAUUGACACUGUGGCACGAAAGCGUGGGGAUCAAACAGGAUUAGAUACCCCCGUAGUCCCUGUCUCUUAUAC